GACAGAGGAGCCAAGCGUUGUCCGGACUGACUGGGCGUAAAGCGCCCGCAGGCGGCCGUGCGCGUGGGGUGUGAAAGCUCGCGGCUUAACUGCGAGAGGCCAUCCCAUACGGCACGGCUCGAGCCGUCCAGAGGCCGGUGGAAUUGCCGGUGUAGUGGUGAAAUGCGUAGAGAUCGGGAGGAACACCCGUAGCGAAGGCGGCCGACUGGACCAUACCCGACGCUGAGGCGCGAAGGCCAGGGGAGCGAACGGG
rnacentral:rRNA from 1 species